ensembl:snRNA U4 U4 spliceosomal RNA
AGCUUUGCACAGUGGCAAUAUUGUAGCCAAUGAGGUUUAUCUGAGGAGUGAUUACUGCUAAUUGAAAACUUUUCCAGUAUCCUGCUGUGACAGCCUGAAAUGUUAUAUUUUUUCAUCCACUGUAUGGAAUCAAAA